rnacentral:rRNA from 1 species
CACAGAGGUCCCAAGCGUUGUUCGGAUUCACUGGGCGUAAAGGGUGCGUAGGCGGUCAGGUAAGUCUGAUGUGAAAUCUCUGGGCUUAACCCAGAAAUGGCAUUGGAUACUAUUUGGCUUGAGAGUUGGAGGGGGGACUGGAAUUCUUGGUGUAGCAGUGAAAUGCGUAGAUAUCAAGAGGAACACCAGUGGCGAAGGCGAGUCCCUGGACAACUUCUGACGCUGAGGCACGAAAGCUAGGGGAGCAAACAGG